GGGUUGUGAGGUUAAGCGACUAAGCGUACACGGUGGAUGCCCUGGCAGUCAGAGGCGAUGAAGGACGUGCUAAUCUGCGAUAAGCGCCGGUAAGGUGAUAUGAACCGUUAUAACCGGCGAUUUCCGAAUGGGGAAACCCAGUGUGACUCGUCACACUAUCAUUAACUGAAUCCAUAGGUUAAUGAGGCGAACCGGGGGAACUGAAACAUCUAAGUACCCCGAGGAAAAGAAAUCAACCGAGAUUCCCCCAGUAGCGGCGAGCGAACGGGGAGGAGCCCAGAGCCUGAAUCAGCAUGUGUGUUAGUGGAAGCGUCUGGAAAGGCGCGCGAUACAGGGUGACAGCCCCGUACACAAAAGCGCAUGUGCUGUGAGCUCGAUGAGUAGGG
rnacentral:rRNA from 1 species